GUCGGGGUAGAGCAGUCCGGUAGCUCGUCAGGCUCAUAACCUGAAGGUCGGGGGUUCAAUUCCCUCUCCCGCCA
rnacentral:tRNA from 1 species